GUGCCACAUAUAUUACAACUACUGGAUAGUACUCUUAAUUAAGGAUACUACAGAUAGAUAGUACUCUUCACGAUACUAGAGAUAGAUAGACCGCAUAAAGCUCGGGCGGGGGCGAUUGAGUCGCUCAGGCGGCGGAGAUGCUCAGGCGGCCUUUAUGAGUAGCUCAGGCGGCGGAUCUUUGCCAAACACGCUACGAUAUCCUGCUGGAAGGCGGCCAUGCUGUCGUCCAUCUCGUUGAAGAAGUCAGCGUCGUCGUCCUCCUCCGGGUCGAGGGGGCGGGCUUAUCCGAGGACAGGAUGCUUUCGAUCCUCUCUAGAAACAUCAUGUUGUUCACCGGAGGAUGAACACCCACCUUGCACCUGGGAUCACCACAAGUGGCCUCUUUUCCAUCAAGACGCGCCACCUCCUUGUGCAUGGAGGACCCCUUCUUGGAACACCGCUUCUCUGGAAGACGAUUGGAGGUAACGGAAGCCUCCACCAUCACCACCUUACGGGCCUUGGAAGAAGACCCCUUCUUGUUCUUCCGACCAGAACAAGGACGCACCGACACAGCCGGAUCCUCGAACCGAUCUAACUCGCCGGCAGUCGCCAUCUCUGGAUCUAAGAGGGUGUUUGUUUCCACGGACUUAUUGGUUUAGGGACUUAAAAAGGUCCCUAUAAGUUCCAUCUAAACCAAACAUAAGGAACUUAUAGGGACUUAAAGUGGGCAUUUGGAACUUAUGAAAUAAGAUUCUCAAGGAGGGAUUUAUAAUU